rnacentral:rRNA from 1 species
GGAUUAGAUACCCUGGUAGUCCACGCCGUAAACGAUGUCGACUAGCCGUUGGAGUCCUUGAGGCUUUAGUGGCGCAGCUAACGCGAUAAGUCGACCGCCUGGGGAGUACGGCCGCAAGGUUAAAACUCAAAUGAAUUGACGGGGGCCCGCACAAGCGGUGGAGCAUGUGGUUUAAUUCGAAGCAACGCGAAGAACCUUACCAGGUCUUGACAUCCUGAGAACUUUCUAGAGAUAGAUUGGUGCCUUCGGGAACUCAGAGACAGGUGCUGCAUGGCUGUCGUCAGCUCGUGCCG